GACGAACGCUGGCGGCGUGCCUAAUACAUGCAAGUCGAGCGGAGCUGCGCGGUUCCUUCGGGAAUGGCGCAGCUUAGCGGCGAACGGGUGAGUAACACGUAGGCAACCUGCCCGCAAGACCGGGAUAACUCGCGGAAACGUGAGCUAAUACCGGAUAAUCGGUUUCUCCGCAUGGAGGGAUCGUGAAAGGCGCUUUGGCGUCACUUGCGGAUGGGCCUGCGGCGCAUUAGCUAGUUGGCGGGGUAACGGCCCACCAAGGCGACGAUGCGUAGCCGGCCUGAGAGGGUGAACGGCCACACUGGGACUGAGACACGGCCCAGACUCCUACGGGAGGCAGCAGUAGGGAAUCUUCGGCAAUGGACGGAAGUCUGACCGAGCAACGCUGCGUGAGUGAGGAAGGCCUUCGGGUCGUAAAGCUCUGUUGCCAGGGAAGAACGCCGAGGGGAGGGAAUGCCCCUCGGGUGACGGUACCUGAGAAGAAAGCCCCGGCUAACUAC
rnacentral:rRNA from 1 species